rnacentral:tRNA from 1 species
GCAUCCAUGGCUGAAUGGUUAAAGCACCCAACUCAUAAUUGGCGAACUCGCGGGUU